GCUCAACCGUCGACGCGCUUCGGAAACUGGGGGACUUGAGGGCAGGAGAGGCGAGCGGAAUUCCCGGUGUAGCGGUGAAAUGCGUAGAGAUCGGGAAGAACACCAGUGGCGAAGGCGGCUCGCUGGACUGGCCCUGACGCUGACGCGCGAAAGCGUGGGGAGCGAACGGGAUUAGAUACCCCGGUAGUCCACGCCGUAAACGAUGGGCACUAGGUGUGGGAGGUAUCGACCCCUCCCGUGCCGGAGUUAACACACUAAGUGCCCCGCCUGGGGAGUACGGCCGCAAGGUUGAAACUCAAAGGAAUUGACGGGGGCCCGCACAAGCAGUGGAGCAUGUGGUUUAAUUCGACGCAACGCGAAGAACCUUACCCGGGCUUGACAUCCCCGGAACACCCGAGAGAUCGGGUGGCUCUACGGAGCCGGGAGACAGGUGCUGCAUGGUUGUCGUCAGCUCGUGUCGUGAGAUGUUGGGUUAAGUCCCGCAACGAGCGCAACCCUUGUCCCGUGUUACCAGCGUAAAGGCGGGGACUCACGGGAGACUGCCGGUGACAAACCGGAGGAAGGUGGGGAUGACGUCAAAUCAUCAUGGCCCUUAUGUCCGGGGCUACACACGUGCUACAAUGGCCGGCACAGCGGGAUGCGAAGGGGCGACCCGGAGCGAAUCCCUGAAAGCCGGUCCCAGUUCGGAUCGCAGGCUGAAACCCGCCUGCGUGAAGCCGGAAUUGCUAGUAAUCGCGGAUCAGCAUGCCGCGGUGAUACGUUCCCGGGCCUUGUACACACCGCCCGUCACACCACGAGAGUCGGCAACACCCGAAGCCGGUGGAGCGAACCCGCAAGGGACGCAGCCGUCGAAGGUGGGGCGGAUGAUUGGGGUGAAGUCGU
rnacentral:rRNA from 1 species